rnacentral:rRNA from 1 species
AGUGAACGCUGGCGGUAGGCCUAACACAUGCAAGUCGAACGGCAGCACAGUAAGAGCUUGCUCUUACGGGUGGCGAGUGGAGGACGGGUGAGGAAUACAUCGGAAUCUACUUUUUCGUGGGGGAUAACGUAGGGAAACUUACGCUAAUACCGCAUACGACCUACGGGUGAAAGCAGGGGAUCUUCGGACCUUGCGCGAUUGAAUGAGCCGAUGUCGGAUUAGCUAGUUGGCGGGGUAAAGGCCCACCAAGGCGACGAUCCGUAGCGGGUCUGAGAGGAUGAUCAGCCACACUGGAACUGAGACACGGUCCAGACUCCUACGGGAGGCAGCAGUGGGGAAUAUUGGACAAUGGGCGCAAGCCUGAUCCAGGCAUACCGCGUGGGUGAAGAAGGCCUUCGGGUUGUAAAGCCCUUUUGUUGGGAAAGAAAAGCAGCAGGUUAAUACCCCGCUGUUCUGACGGUACCCAAAGAAUAAGCACCGGCUAACUUCGUG